GUCUACGGCCAUGCCACCCUGAAUGUGCCCGAUCUCUUCUGAUCUCGCAAGCUAAGCAGGGUCGGGCCGGGUUAGUACUUGGAAGGGAGAGCAUCAGUUAAAGCACUAACCACU
rnacentral:rRNA from 1 species